AGCAUUAGCCAUGGAAAGCACACCAGGACCAGUGUGCUUCUUCACGAAGUUCUCGUCCGCGAAUUUCGCUCCGUAGAUCGACUCGCCUCCGGUGCCAUUUCCGGCGGUGAAGUCUCCUCCCUGGCACAUGAAGCCGGGGAUCACACGGUGGAAGGAAGAGCCCUUGUAGUGGAGGGGCUUCCCGCUCUUGCCAAUGCCUUUCUCUCCGGUGCAAAGAGCACGGAAGUUGUCAGCGGUGCGAGGAACGACAUCGGCGUAUAGCUCUAUCACGAUCCUGCCAGCAGGCUGACCGCCGACGGUCAUAUCAAAGAAAACCUUUGGGUUCGCCAUAGAAAGAUAAUAGUAAUGAAGAAAAUUAGGAACUCUUUCAGGAUGAAUAUUACCGGUUAGGGUUUUUUGUUGGAGCCGGUCCGGG
rnacentral:misc_RNA from 1 species